GGUUAGACAGCUUUGAAUAAUGCCAUAAUUCAAUGUUGUGAUUCUACUGAUACAGUAGUGUUUAUAUUAAAAUGGCAUUUUGCUGCAGAUGGAAGCUCUAUCAGACAAAAGAAGUUACAGUCUAAGGAGACAGUGGAUAUGAAGAUCUGAAGACAGAUUGUGCAGGAAGCAGAGAGGUACAACAUGGUUUAUGCACAUAUGAGAGAGGAAUACUACUUUGGCAAGUCCCUGGUACACCAUCAGUCUGAAUGUUGAAGAACUGAAGUAAAUUGAUUGCAAAUUGAGAGAUCAGAAUGAACUGAGAGAAAAAGUGCCGCACCAUGGUCUUGGAAAGUCUUCAUGCAAGUGGAAUUUCAAGGAAACUGCUGAGCUACUUUGUUAAAGACCAGUCUGAAUUAUACCAGAUACUUGAAACUGUCCUGAUCAAUUGUCCUCACUUGAAAUAGUGGUUUGGUCAAUCACCACAAAAAUUUGGAGCAUAGAAGACGGAACAAGCUGAGACUAAAUAGGGAAAUUAAAAAAGGAAGAUCCACCAUCCCCUCUAAAAAGUACUAAAGCAAGCAGGAGAGAAGAUCCAAAAUAAUAUUAAAGGUCAGUUGGCCAACAGCUGCAGAGAAACCAAGAAGUAAACAUUUCAAAACACAGACAUCUAUUUUUACAGCAUCUUUCCCAGAAUUAUUGCUGUAUCAGCUUCAAUGGUGACACAGCAAUUUUUCACUUUUGAACCUACCUCCUUUCCUAAUAUUUCGAAUAGCUUCAGAACUGGUCACAUGUCUGGGGUUCUUCCCAAAAAAAAGGAGUUACUGCAUUCUUCAGACCUGCCACCACACACAACCAAACACCUGAGACCUGUAGGGCUGAAAUGCUAUGGUAUGUUCUGGUCAUGGGUUACACUGCAGAUAGUUCUCACAGCAGAGAACUGUGUGAGAACAGUUCUCAGUCCAUAAUAAUUUUUUAUGGAUAUGAAUUAAGGAAAUUCAGACUCUUCUCAGCCUAAUCACAACCCACUGGUAGGAAAUAAGAGGCUUUUUCUCUUAAACUAUGCCUCAAUGGAUUUAGAGACUGCAGUGCACCUUGCAUUAUCCCAGGUUACUUCCUGAUGGAUUCCAAUGAGCAUACCCAGAAAAGCUAAGACAUAUUUUCUUUAUCUUUGUCUGACGUGAUGCUAUGCAAUGUUCAUCCUCGAAGACAAAACCUGAGUCAGGCUUUUCCCUUCAUUCUCCCUAACCUGUACACAACCCUCCAGACCAUGUACAUCAAAUUAAAGGGCUCCUACUGUUCUUUGUAUUAUAUACUUGUUGGGGGUUGAGUGUUUUCUGUUACUGUGUCAAUUUGGGGAAUUUUCCCCA